AGGUUUCACGGCUGCAGUAUACUGACUGUGCUAAGGUAGCAUAAUAAUUUGUCUUUUAAUUGAAGGCUGGAAUGAAUGAUUAAAUAAUUUAUAAUUUGUCUUGUGAGUUAAUGAAUAAUUUGUAUUGUAAGUAAGAAUACUUACGAAUAAUAAUGGGACGAUAAGACCCUAAAAGUUUUAUAUAUAAUUGAUUAUUUAAUUUAUAAUAUAUGUUUGGCUGGGGCAGCAAUUUAGUAAAAAUCUAUAGAAAUUAUAACCUUGUGCGGGUUUUUGAUCUUUUAUAUAAAGAUAAAUGGCGAAAAUUACUUUAGGGAUAACAGCAUAAUAAUUUUAGGGAGAUCGUAUCUAUAAAAUUGAUUGUGACCUCGAUGUUGAAUUAAAAAUUCUGUAUAGAGUAGAAGAUAUAUAAGAAGGUUUGUUCAACCUUUAAAUUUUUACGUGAUCUGAGU
rnacentral:rRNA from 1 species